AUUGAACGCUGGCGGCAGGCCUAACACAUGCAAGUCGAGCGGAUGAAGGGAGCUUGCUCCUGGAUUCAGUGGCGGACGGGUGAGUAAUGCCUAGGAAUCUGCCUGGUAGUGGGGGAUAACGUCCGGAAACGGGCGCUAAUACCGCAUACGUCCUGAGGGAGAAAGUGGGGGAUCUUCGGACCUCACGCUCUCAGAUGAGCCUAGGUCGGAUUAGCUAGUUGGUGGGGUAAAGGCCUACCAAGGCGACGAUCCGUAACUGGUCUGAGAGGAUGAUCAGUCACACUGGAACUGAGACACGGUCCAGACUCCUACGGGAGGCAGCAGUGGGGAAUAUUGGACAAUGGGCGAAAGCCUGAUCCAGCCAUGCCGCGUGUGUGAAGAAGGUCUUCGGAUUGUAAAGCACUUUAAGUUGGGAGGAAGGGCAGUAAGUUAAUACCUUGCUGUUUUGACGUUACCAACAGAAUAAGCACCGGCUAACUUCGUG
rnacentral:rRNA from 1 species